UCAGCGGGACUAUUACACUAAUCACAACAUGCAGUAACCCUGAAUUGAAUUGAUCACUUGUUCAUGGCCUCAAAUACUACAUGUUUAUUGAUACCAACCUCCAAGGGGAUUCAUUUCAGUCUGACAUUAUCCUUGAAUUUGCUGAAAAGACCAUAAAGUCCAGAAAUCGAAGUGAUCGAUUGUCCUGCGGACUGCAGAAGCAGAUGCCCCUAAAGCCUGAAAGUAAGGUUCAGUGGUUCACCCCAGCAAUCCAGCAUCAUUCUGACUUGCAUGCGACGUUGUUUACCUACCUGCAUGUCAUUUAGAUUGGACAGGUGCCGUUCAUGAACUCCUGCAGCUUCCGAUUGGCAUGGAGCCCCUUGUCCAAUCUGUACAUGCUGCUAGCUACAAGCUGCUCGCCAAUAGGAAACGCUUGUCUCGAAUAGUGAUUGAUUCUUAGAAUUGUCUUAAUAUUUUUUCUUCUUAUGCAAGAUCUAUUCACGGCUGCCUGUAUGAAUGCUCACGCGAUUGACCCUUGUUUUUCUCAAAGUCCUGUGAAUUAUCCAAUGUAAUACUUGAUGAAUUUUUGUACAUAAUGAAGUUUGUAAUAUUUCCUA